GACGAACGCUGGCGGCGUGCUUAACACAUGCAAGUCGAACGGAAAGGCCCUGCCUUUGUGGGGUGCUCGAGUGGCGAACGGGUGAGUAACACGUGAGUAACCUGCCCUUGACUUUGGGAUAACUUCAGGAAACUGGGGCUAAUACCGGAUAGGAGCUCCUGCUGCAUGGUGGGGGUUGGAAAGUUUCGGCGGUUGGGGAUGGACUCGCGGCUUAUCAGCUUGUUGGUGGGGUAGUGGCUUACCAAGGCUUUGACGGGUAGCCGGCCUGAGAGGGUGACCGGCCACAUUGGGACUGAGAUACGGCCCAGACUCCUACGGGAGGCAGCAGUGGGGAAUAUUGCACAAUGGGCGGAAGCCUGAUGCAGCAACGCCGCGUGCGGGAUGACGGCCUUCGGGUUGUAAACCGCUUUCGCCUGUGACGAAGCGUGAGUGACGGUAAUGGGUAAAGAAGCACCGGCUAACUACGUGCCAGCAGCCGCGGUGAUACGUAGGGUGCGAGCGUUGUCCGGAUUUAUUGGGCGUAAAGGGCUCGUAGGUGGUUGAUCGCGUCGGAAGUGUAAUCUUGGGGCUUAACCCUGAGCGUGCUUUCUAUACGGGUUGACUUGAGGAAGGUAGGGGAGAAUGGAAUUCCUGGUGGAAGCGGUGGAAUGCGCACAUAUCAGGAAGAACACCCGGUGGCGAAGGGCGGUUCUCUGGGCCUUUCCUGACGCUGAGGAGCGAAAGCGUGGGGAGCGAACAGGCUUAGAUACCCUGGUAGUCCACGCUGUAAACGGUGGGUACUAGGUGUGGGGUCCAUUCCACGGGUUCCGCGCCGUAGCUAACGCUUUAAGUACCCCGCCUGGGGAGUACGGCCGCAAGGCUAAAACUCAAAGGAAUUGACGGGGCCCCGCACAAGCGGCGGAGCAUGCGGAUUAAUUCGAUGCAACGCGUAGAACCUUACCUGGGUUUGACAUGGAUCGGGAGUGCUCAGAGAUGGGUGUGCCUCUUUUGGGGUCGGUUCACAGGUGGUGCAUGGCUGUCGUCAGCUCGUGUCGUGAGAUGUUGGGUUAAGUCCCGCAACGAGCGCAACCCUUGUUCACUGUUGCCAGCACGUUAUGGUGGGGACUCAGUGGAGACCGCCGGGGUCAACUCGGAGGAAGGUGGGGAUGACGUCAAGUCAUCAUGCCCCUUAUGUCCAGGGCUUCACGCAUGCUACAAUGGCUGGUACAGAGAGUGGCGAGCCUGUGAGGGUGAGCGAAUCUCGGAAAGCCGGUCUCAGUUCGGAUUGGGGUCUGCAACUCGACCUCAUGAAGUCGGAGUCGCUAGUAAUCGCAGAUCAGCAACGCUGCGGUGAAUACGUUCCCGGGGCU
rnacentral:rRNA from 1 species